CCCCUCUCAGGGUUGCACCUGGAGAGUUUCCAGUACUCUACCAGUCUCAACUAUGAGAGAGUCAAGCAGAUGCCUACCCAUUCCAUUCUUAGCUUGGGCAGUGGCUAGCGAGUGGAAGGCAAUCUGCUAUAAGU